rnacentral:lncRNA from 1 species
GCCCAAACACCCGUAGGUUACUGUAGCUCCGCCCCUGAUUAAUGCACCCACAACCUUAAAAUCAUGGGUCAUCCACUGGUUAAGACUAGGCCUUUUCUCAUUGUUUGCUUAGUCACAGUAGGUAGUGUGUUAUUGCCAGAGCCCAUAAGGGAUUUGUAGACUUGUAUGAUUUCCUGUUGUAUAUCAGUUGCAUCUGUCAGUUUUUUACCAUUCAAGGCUGUCAGCCCAGUUAUUUGUUU